rnacentral:misc_RNA from 1 species
AUGCAUUUCACUUCAUUCACUCCAAAUUCUUUAUUUUUCUCUCAUUUUCCAUUUUUUAAAAAUAAUUUUAGGAUUUUCUAAUGUUGUUCUGGUUGGAAAACCAACAAAUGUUCAUUGAAUAACUAAAAUUUUUGUGUUUUUUCCCAUUUUCCAUUUUUAUAUAAUUUGUGAUGAUCUAAAUGAUGAUGUUCUUGUUGGUAACUAACAGAUGUUCAUUGAAGAAUUAAAGUGAAGAAUAUAAACCAGGAAUAUGACACUUGGGUAGAUGUUAAGAGGGCUUGGUAUUACCUAAAUUUAUCUAUUGAUCUGAACAUAGAAAGAUAAACUUAGUUUUGCAUAUAACUAUUACAAGAUUGCAAUAGACUCCACCAAGCUUCUAAAUGAGUUGUUGAUAUGUCAAGAUGCUAGAACUGUGUGUGAGAUAUGAUUGCUUCUAAAUUCUACUUUCAGAAAACUGAAAAAACAGUAUGCUUUCAGAAAACUGAAAAAACAGUAUGCUAGAGAUGAGGCCUUAGUCAUAGAUAGAAGGUUGGCGAAGCUCUAAUAAUUGGAGAACGAAGACCUUGCUUGGGGUAAUACAAGUGUGUAUUAGUAUUAUGUUAGGA